AUUUGUAAGCGCUGCGCGUGCAAAAUGCAGUCGAGCGACAGACAAGGAGCUUGCUCCUUUGACGUUAGCGGCGGACGGGUGAGUAACACGUGGGUAACCUACCUAUAAGACUGGGAUAACUUCGGGAAACCGGAGCUAAUACCGGAUAAUAUUUCGAACCGCAUGGUUCGAUAGUGAAAGAUGGUUUUGCUAUCACUUAUAGAUGGACCCGCGCCGUAUUAGCUAGUUGGUAAGGUAACGGCUUACCAAGGCGACGAUACGUAGCCGACCUGAGAGGGUGAUCGGCCACACUGGAACUGAGACACGGUCCAGACUCCUACGGGAGGCAGCAGUAGGGAAUCUUCCGCAAUGGGCGAAAGCCUGACGGAGCAACGCCGCGUGAGUGAUGAAGGUCUUCGGAUCGUAAAACUCUGUUAUUAGGGAAGAACAUACGUGUAAGUAACUAUGCACGUCUUGACGGUACCUAAUCAGAAAGCCACGGCUAACUACGUGCCAGCAGCCGCGGUAAUACGUAGGUGGCAAGCGUUAUCCGGAAUUAUUGGGCGUAAAGCGCGCGUAGGCGGUUUUUUAAGUCUGAUGUGAAAGCCCACGGCUCAACCGUGGAGGGUCAUUGGAAACUGGAAAACUUGAGUGCAGAAGAGGAAAGUGGAAUUCCAUGUGUAGCGGUGAAAUGCGCAGAGAUAUGGAGGAACACCAGUGGCGAAGGCGACUUUCUGGUCUGUAACUGACGCUGAUGUGCGAAAGCGUGGGGAUCAAACAGGAUUAGAUACCCUGGUAGUCCACGCCGUAAACGAUGAGUGCUAAGUGUUAAGGGGGUUUCCGCCCCUUAGUGCUGCAGCUAACGCAUUAAGCACUCCGCCUGGGGGAGUACGACCGCAAGGUUGAAACUCAAAGGAAUUGACGGGGACCCGCACAAGCGGUGGAGCAUGUGGUUUAAUUCGAAGCAACGCGAAGAACCUUACCAAAUCUUGACAUCCUUUGACAACUCUAGAGAUAGAGCCUUCCCCUUCGGGGGACAAAGUGACAGGUGGUGCAUGGUUGUCGUCAGCUCGUGUCGUGAGAUGUUGGGUUAAGUCCCGCAACGAGCGCAACCCUUAAGCUUAGUUGCCAUCAUUAAGUUGGGCACUCUAAGUUGACUGCCGGUGACAAACCGGAGGAAGGUGGGGAUGACGUCAAAUCAUCAUGCCCCUUAUGAUUUGGGCUACACACGUGCUACAAUGGACAAUACAAAGGGCAGCGAAACCGCGAGGUCAAGCAAAUCCCAUAAAGUUGUUCUCAGUUCGGAUUGUAGUCUGCAACUCGACUACAUGAAGCUGGAAUCGCUAGUAAUCGUAGAUCAGCAUGCUACGGUGAAUACGUUCCCGGGUCUUGUACACACCGCCCGUCACACCACGAGAGUUUGUAACACCCGAAGCCGGUGGAGUAACCAUUGGAGCUAGCCGUCGUUUGGUGGACAACUUAGUGGG
rnacentral:rRNA from 1 species